GUCGAGGGGCAGCGGGGGAGUAAGCUUGCUUAUUCCCGCCGGCGACCGGCGCACGGGUGAGUAACGCGUGUGCAACCUGCCCGGCACAGUGGGAUAAUCCGGAGAAAUCCGGUCUAAUACCGCAUGACGCGGGAAGGGCGCAUGCCUUUUCCGCCAAAGGAGGCGACUCCGGUGCCGGCUGGGCACGCGUGACAUUAGCUAGUUGGCGGGGCGACGGCCCACCAAGGCGACGAUGUCUAGGGGUUCUGAGAGGAAGGUCCCCCACACUGGUACUGAGACACGGACCAGACUCCUACGGGAGGCAGCAGUGAGGAAUAUUGGUCAAUGGGCGGAAGCCUGAACCAGCCAAGUCGCGUGAGGGAUGACGGCCCUACGGGUUGUAAACCUCUUUUGCCGGGGAACAAAARGCGGGACGCGUCCCGCAGUGGAGUGUACCCGGAGAMAAAGCAUCGGCUAACUCCGUGCCAGCAGCCGCGGUAAUACGGAGGAUGCGAGCGUUAUCCGGMUUUSSCSGGUUUVSVSGGUGCGUAGGCGGCGCCUCAAGUCAGCGCGUCAAACCGGGGGGCUCAACCUUCCGCCGCCGUUGAGACUGGGGCGCUUGAGUGGGCGAGAVGUGCGCGGAAUGCGUGGUGUAGCGGUGAAAUGCAUAGAUAUCACGCAGAACUCCGAUUGCGAAGGCAGCGCACCGGCGCCCAACUGACGCUGAAGCACGAAAGCGUGGGUAUCGAACAGGAUUAGAUACCCUGGUAGUCCACGCAGUAAACGAUGAGCACUAGCUGUCCGGGGGGAUUGUCUCCUGGGCGGCACAGCGAAAGCCCUAAGUGCUCCACCUGGGGAGUACGCCGGCAACGGUGAAAUUCAAAGGAAUUCACGGGGGCCCGCACAAGCGGAGGAACAUGUGGUUUAAYUCGAUGAUACGCGAGGAACCUUACCCGGGCUCAAACGGGACAGGAAAGKKKBUGAAAGGAGGCUGCUACGGGGCCUGUCCCGAGGUGCUGCAUGGUUGUCGUCAGCUCGUGCCGUGAGGUGUCGGCUUAAGUGCCAUMACGAGCGCAACCCCCACCGACAGUUGCUAACUGGUGAAGCAGAGGACUCUGUCGGGACUGCCGGCGCAAGCUGCGAGGAAGGCGGGGAUGACGUCAAAUCAGCACGGCCCUUACGUCCGGGGCGACACACGUGUYACAAUGGCGGCCACAGCGGGAAGCCAGGCGGCGACGCCGAGCGGAACCCGAAAAGCCGUCUCAGYUCGGAUUGGAGUCUGCAACCCGACUCCAUGAAGCUGGAUUCGCUAGUAAUCGCGCAUCAGCCACGGCGCGGUGAAUACGUUCCCGGGCCUUGUACACACCGCCCGUCAAGCCAUGGGAGCCGGGGGCGCCUGAAGUGCGUUACCGCGAGGAGCGCCCUAGGGCAAAACCGGUG
rnacentral:rRNA from 1 species